UGCCCCCCCGAGGCCCCUAGUCUCCGCCCACAGGGCCCCUUCCCCCCCAGAGACCCAGUCCUGGUUCCGGAUGCAUUUGCUGCGCAGGGGGUGUUGGGAAGAGAGCCAGGCAGGAUUCAUCCCCCAGCAGCUCCUUGCGGAGCCUGGCUGGGGUCCCCCAUCGCGCUCGGAGCAAUACGGAGAUGUAAGUCGUCUGGAGGAGCACUCCACAGACUGAUUUCAUACCUGGAGCUCCUGACAGCCAGCUUUGGGCCCGGUGUGCAGAUUAGCUUUAUGCAAGUACCUCGGUCCCCAGAGCAGUGGAAGGAUCAAGUCUAUGAUCGGUGCCAGCCAAAGGGGUGCAGGGAAACUGAGGCCAGCAGGGACCAGGCCAGUCUACCAUGCUGGAUGGCACAGACCAGGGAACUGCGCGGAGUGAAUCCCCCAGUUGAACUAGAGCAGAGCUUUGUAAUGAACAGCCCGAGGGGAUUUGAAAAUGCCUCGGGAGCUCCCUCAGCAGAGACCACGCCUCAGCACAGUGGCAAAGCAACUUGCCUAGACUGGCUGGAAAGAAGGGUAAUUUGAGGAAUAAUCCUUCACUUGUCUCUGGAUCCCAAAGCACUGUAGGGACAGACGUCAGGCCUCGCCAGUGCUGCGGUGCGGCGAGAGGGGAAACCGAGGCACUAAGAGAUGAUGAUCACGUGUAAUCUAAGCUGAAAUAAAACAAUUUGAAUUGAAAACUCCAAGGGUUGCACUACCUGGCCUCACCCAAACACCGGAAAGGAAAUGUCAUCCAACCUGCUCGUGGGAAGUACAGCAUUUUUAGGAUGGAAAAACUAGUCCCUCAGGCAACCGCUGAGCAGGUCCUCCUGGAAGAGGCUUGGAGCUGGGGCUGCGGAUUCUCUCCGAAGCACAGCCCCAGGGCUAGAUUUUUUGGUGCCUACCUGCUCUUCUAGGAAACGAGAUUCCCUUCCUCUGCAGCGCCCAGCCCACGCCCAGCAUCUCCUCGUCAGCGCCAGCCACCACGUGGGAGCAGGCCAUGCUGGCGAAGGCCCCGCGGUCCUGCAGCUGGAACUUCACCACGGGUGGCACGG